CGCGGGUCUCGCCCCGCAAACCUUCGAAAACGUCACUUCUCUGAUCAAGAAUAGAUCUGCAGGGAGGCGGAAGGUGGGCAUGGUGCUCUUGCCCGUAGCCUCAGUUGCAGUGCGAUCAUCCUUUUCCGUCGUCGGUGAAGCAUUCUUCUCGACAUUUAUAAGCUUCAAUGGGAUAACCAGCUCAACCAUUCUGGUCUUUGUACGUGUCCACCAGUUGUAUAUAGGGCCUAUUAUAUAUAAUAAGAUGUGCUUCCCUAUGUAUAUUUUAUAUGGAAUUAUAAUGACCAAAGUUAGUGA